rnacentral:ncRNA from 1 species
UUACAUAAAUUUUGUUAAUUAUUUAAUAUAUUUUAUUUUAGUAAAUUAAUUUUUUAUUUCUUUUAUUUACAUGUAAAUUUUUGUAAAUCAGUAUUUUGAUAAUUUAAUAAACAGUAAUUGUAAUUAUUUUUUAAUGAAAAUUAGAUGUAUAAAUUGAUUUUAGACUCGACUAAUUUUGUGCCAGCAGUUGCGGUUACACAAUUGAGUUAAUAAAAUUUUUAAAAUGAAUUAAUUAUUUAUUUAUUUAGGGAUUAAAGUUAAAAUUUUAAAGGUAAAAUUUAAUUUUUUAAACUUAAUUUUUUGUUUGUAAUUGAGAAACUAGUGAAUAAAUCAGGAUUAGAUACCCUGUUAUUGGAGUGUAAAUUUAUUGGAGUAGUAAAAGUUAAGAUCUUGAAACUCAAAAAAUUUGGCGGUAUUUUAUCUUAUUAGAGGAACCUGUUUAUUAAUUGAUAUUCCACAACUUAAAUUUACUUUUACUAUAUUAUUUGUAUACCGCUGUCAUGAAUCUAUUUAGAAAUAUAUUUUCAAAAUUUUUUAUGUAAGUUAUGUUAGGUCAAGGUGCAGUAUGUGACUGUAGAAAAUGGGUUACAUUAUUUAUUAUGAAUGAAUUGGUUUAGUAAAAAGAAACAUGAAAUAGGAUUUAUAAGUAAAAAAAUUGUUAAAGAUUUUAUAUGAAUAAAGAUUCUAAAAUAUGUACACAUUGCCCGUCGCUCUUGUUUAAAAUAAGAUAAGUCGUAACAUAGUAGAUGUACUGGAAAGUGUCUCUGGAAUUA